UACGGAGGGAGCUAGCGUUGUUCGGAAUUACUGGGCGUAAAGCGCGCGUAGGCGGCUUUGUAAGUUAGAGGUGAAAGCCCGGAGCUCAACUCCGGAACUGCCUUUAAAACUGCAUCGCUUGAAUCCAGGAGAGGUGAGUGGAAUUCCGAGUGUAGAGGUGAAAUUCGUAGAGAUCAAGAGGAACAUCAGAGGCGAAGGCGACGAACUGGAUAGUUACUGACACUAAACAACGAAAGCGUGGGGAGCAAACAGG
rnacentral:rRNA from 1 species